rnacentral:miRNA from 1 species
UGGCAAGAUUUAGGCAGUUCAGA